UAGCUAGUUGGUGAGGUAAUGGCUCACCAAGGCGACGAUCCCUAGCUGUUCUGAGAGGAUGAUCAGCCACACUGGAACUGAGACACGGCCCAGACUCCUACGGGAGGCAGCAGUGGGGAAUAUUGCACAAUGGGGGAAACCCUGAUGCAGCCAUGCCGCGUGUGUGAAGAAGGCCUUCGGGUUGUAAAGCACUUUCAGUAGGGAGGA
rnacentral:rRNA from 1 species